AUCCACCUGGUGGUCCAGAAAUGACACUGUAACUUUAAUGAUCAGAAAAUGUAAUCUUGCACUUUUCCUCUCAAGCCAAAAGGUGCAGAUCGCAGACUCAAGAAUGACCAAGAGAAAAUUGAGAAAAAAGUCUGCAAGAUAGAGAGAAAUAUCAACCCUCCUAUAAAACUACUGUGCUUACUUCCUGAGUGCUUCCCUUGGCCUGAAGCCCCAUCUAUCAACACUACAAGAAACACUCCAUCUCGUGUUUAUCCCAGCAGUCCUGCUUCAUACAGCUUUCAAGAGUGGUGUGUGUUUGAGGACAUGGAUGAUGCUAUACUCAUUACAGGGAUUCUUAUUAUUUUUGACAUGUAGCAUCUGUUGCCAUCGUCCUCCACGCAUGAUGCACAGCAGUGGUUGCAUUGUAAAAGGUUCUCAUCUUUCUGCAGGAUUUUCUCUGGUUUCUUAGGUUCUGAUUUGCUAAAAAUGAGCAGAGACGACUUCAUUCAGAUCUGUGGGCCUGCUGAUGGAAUCCGUCUUUUUAAUACAAUCGAGGGGAUGUGCGUACAACCACGUCUCACUGUCUAUGUAUCUCAGCUGCAGAAUAGAUAUCAACCACAUGCCAAGGGAGGGGCUGAUGGAGAGGACCUUACUGUGUUUGAGCUCACUGAGAAGAUAUAGCCAAUCAAUAUAAUGUGCCCUCACAGCAGAUUCAUCAUGUAUACAGACAAAGGCCGAUGGGGAUUUACGUCUUUGUUUCGGAUGCGGUAAGAGGGCAGAAGUUGGUCCUAUAGAUUAGCUAGGAGAUUUGGGUGCUUUUUUAGAAAAAGGUUUUAUUUUAAAGUUUUAAUUGACAUUUCUGGCUAAUCUAUAACAGGUCGAUGUAAGUCAUGGCUUGGAAAAACACACAGGUUUUCAUUUUAAAAGCAGUCUUUCCCUCAUAAUCCAUUCCAGUUACUGAUUUUUAAAAUAAAGACCCUGAAAAUAUAAUUCUCCAGGAAUAUAAUAAAACAUGUAUUUGUUCAGAUGGUGCAGAACUUCACAGAGGAGACCAGCUUUAUAAUCAGCACUUUGAAAGGUAACUUCAUGGACAUGACACUUAUCUCAACUAUUCUGAUAGCUUUAUGUUUGUCAGGUUGUACUUAUCAGGAGAAAAUUAACCAGAUGUCCAUUGCUUAAAAGAUGCUUUCAUAAGCAGGACUUUUCUAUAAUAGAUACAAAUAUGAAGUUAAUCAGUGUGUUUUUAAGAAUACAAUAUGAUUUAUGAUUUUGUCGCAAUUGAAUGGAUCUGACUCUUAAAAGUGUCUUAAAUAAAAAGCUACAAUGUAAAACACCCAUCCAAUUAAUGGAUUCACAUUUAAUUCAUAAUGUCCUUGUGCUUAUUAUAAUACUGUAUUUGGUUAAUGUUUGCUCUUUUUUACCUGUGUGAUUGCAGAUGAAAGUAAUGAUGGUUACCAUGUUGUACUGAAGUGACCAGCUACUAAAAAAUUAUGAAUCCUAAUAGCUUAUUUAACAGACUGUGGGAUUUUAAAUUGUAUAUGACCUGCAAGAAUGUGAUGUGAAUAAACAGAGAAGAGCUUUGUAUAACUAUACACUUCAGGUUUUUUUUAAGAGAAAAUGUUGUCAAAGUUGGUACUUAAAAUGUUUAAUUAAUUAUUGUUGCACUUUUUUAUGUUUUAUCAUUUAGAAGACAUUUUGAUAAAUGAUGAUGCGCACAAAGUUGAUGGGAUCCAUUGACUUUUAUAGUAUUUGUUUAUCCUACUAUGGAAGUUAGUGUGGAUUGUGUUCCUAUUAUCCUUUAUUUAAAUAUCUUAUUUUGUGUUUAACAUAAUAAAAAACUCAUACAGUUUUUAAACGAUGCAAGUAAAUGAUGACAGAGUUUAUUUUUGGGUGAACUAUCCCUUUAGUGAUUGCUGUGGACAUUUGUAUUAAAUCCUUAGCUUCUUUGUUUGUGAAGUUUGUAUUUUUCUGUUGUAACUUUUUUUUUAUAAAAAUAUUUUUUCAAAUA